AUAUGAUUGGUGUUAGAGUUGAGUUGUAACGGUUUAUUUGCUACAAUAACAUAAAAAAAAAUGUCUUCUCCUAUUUCGAAGGCAGACUGAGAUUGAAAAUGAUUUAGAUCAAAAAAUUAUACUAAGGACCCCUUUUAAUUUUAUUUGCAAAACCAUCUCCUAAAAUCUGAUAUAAUAAAUCUGUAUAAUACAAAACUAUAAUCUAAUUCUCGACGAUACGUUUUAUUUAGCAUUCUUUCAACAUUAAUUACUAGAUAUCUUUGCAAUAAAAAAACAAUUAGGUACCUAUUCAAUUAAAAUCGCAUGGCAAUUCGAAAAAUGAGAAUAACACAUUUAUUUUUUUAUAGUUGUAUUCAUUUAUAUAAAGAUUAUUUGAUUUCAAUCGAAGGCUAGUUGUCGCUCUGAAAUCAAGAUGGAUUUUAACAUCUCAUGGCUUUUAAUACUUUUCAUCUUCAUCAUUUAUGUGGCUAACGCAGUAGAAAGCAAGCCAACAAAGGGUACAGAUACCAUUAGAAAGGGCAGAUUAAAUUUUAUGCUCAAAGAUGGUUAUGGAAAACAUUCAUCUUCUCCAUUGAAGUCCAGUAAAAAAGAUCCCCACAUAUACCACUAAGUGUUUCCAUCGUUUAAUAUUGAAUAUUUUUAAGUUAACAUCACAGAAGAAUUUGCAGCAAAUUCAAUGAUGACAAUAAAUAUAUUGACAACAAUUAUUUUCAAUGAACGAAUGAACAAUGAAUUCUCUUAUGAGAGAGGAUAUUCAAAUAUACCUUUGCAUCUAU